UAGCAUUCUUUCUUCUCCAUCCAAUAUAUCCAUCCAUAAACGCGUAGCUCGCUUUGCUUGCUUUCCAGUUGUAAUUUGUAUACAAGAGGAGCACACGGAGUGAGAGAGCAGAGGCCAGCCCAGCUCAGCUGCCGCCAAUAGCAGCUUCAGCUUUAAAAGCUUCUCAUUUCUUCGCUCACGUACUGCUCCCAGAUCCAGAGAUCCAAGAACCGGCAAUGGCGCCGCCUCCUCUGGUGGCGCUGGUGUGCUGCCUGCUCGCCGUCGCGGCCACCCUCGCCGCCGCCGACGACCCCUACCGCUUCUUCACCUGGAGCGUCACCUACGGCCCCAUCAACCCCCUCGGCUCCACCCAGCAGCAGGGGAUCCUGAUCAAUGGCCAGUUCCCGGGGCCGCGGAUCGACUGCGUGACGAACGACAACAUCAUCGUCAACGUGAUCAACAACCUCGACGAGCCGUUCCUCCUCACGUGGAACGGCAUCAAGCAGCGCAAGAACUCAUGGCAGGACGGCGUGCUGGGCACCAACUGCCCCAUCCCCGCCGGCGCCAACUACACCUACAAGUUCCAGGCCAAGGACCAGAUCGGCACCUUCACCUACUUCCCCUCCGUCGCGCUGCACCGCGCCGCCGGCGGCUUCGGCGCCUUCAACGUCUACCAGCGCCCGGCCAUCCCCGUCCCGUACGCGCCGCCCGCCGGCGACUUCACGCUCCUCGUCGGGGACUGGUACAGGGCCGGACACAAGCAGCUGAGGCAGACGCUCGACGCCGGCGGCGCGCUCCCGCCGCCCGACGCGCUGCUCAUCAAUGGCAUGCCGUCGGCGGCGACGUUCGUCGGCGACCAGGGGAAGACGUACCUGUUCCGGGUGUCCAACGUCGGCGUGAAGACGUCCGUCAAUGUCAGGAUCCAGGGGCACUCGCUGAGGCUGGUGGAGGUGGAGGGGACGCACCCGGUGCAGAACGUGUACGACUCGCUCGACGUGCACGUCGGCCAGUCGGUGGCGUUCCUCGUCACGCUCGACAAGCCGGCGCAGGACUACGCCGUGGUGGCGUCCGCGCGCUUCAUCCCGGCCAUGGUGGCGGCGCCGCUGACGGCGAUGGGGACGCUGCACUACAGCAGCGCCGUGUCCAGGGCGCCCGGCCCGCUCCCGGCGCCGCCGCCGGAGGGGGCGGAGUGGUCCAUGAACCAGGCGAGGUCGUUCCGGUGGAACCUGACGGCGAGCGCGGCGCGGCCCAACCCGCAGGGGUCGUUCCACUACGGCACCAUCCCGACGUCGAGGACGCUGGUGCUCGCCAACUCCGCGCCACUGCUCGCCGGGCAGCGCCGCUACGCCGUCAACGGCGUGUCGUUCGUCGUCCCCGACACGCCGCUCAAGCUCGUCGACAACUACAACAUCGCCAACGUCAUCGGCUGGGACAGCGUCCCGGCGAGGCCCGACGGGUCGGCGCCGCGGUCAGGCACGCCGGUGGUGAGGCUCAACCUGCACGAGUUCAUCGAGGUGGUGUUCCAGAACACGGAGAAUGAGUUGCAGUCUUGGCAUCUUGAUGGAUACGACUUCUGGGUUGUUGGGUAUGGCAAUGGUCAGUGGACUGAGAGUCAGCGAACAACCUACAACUUGGUUGACGCCCAAGCGAGACAUACAGUUCAGGUGUACCCGAAUGGAUGGUCAGCGAUCUUGGUGUCAUUGGACAACCAGGGGAUGUGGAACCUGAGGUCGGCGAACUGGGACCGGCAAUACCUCGGCCAGCAGCUGUACAUGAGAGUGUGGACGCCGCAGCAGAGCUUCUCCAACGAGUACAGCAUCCCGACGAACGCCAUACUCUGCGGUAGAGCAGCGGGCCUUGGACACUGAGGAAGACGAGGAAGAAGACGACGAUUCAGCAUUGCAAAACUACUAUAGAAUAAGCCACACUACUACUAUAGGUGUUUUUCUCGUGUGUUAUAGCCUGUGGACAAGGCUUCAGGCUUAGGUGCAGAGUGCUCUGUUUCUGAUGCAGCAUUAUCAAUCUGUUGUGUUAUUCAGUGAUGUACCACUCAGUUUUACAACAAUAUCAAUAGCAACCAUUGUGCCGUGCAUAGACUGGAAAAGAAAACUUUGUAGAAUCAGUAAUGUAUUUGUCAAUUCAUCAGAACUUUGGAAGUCUC